CGUAUUUGAGUGACCGUACCGCAAGCCGACACUGGUAGGUGGGUAGAAUAUACCAAGGGGAGCGAGAGAACCCUCGUUAAGGAAUUAGGCAAAUUUCCCCCGUACGUUCGCAAUAAGGGGGGCCUCUGGUGGUGAGCUUAAUCGCAAAGCUGCUGGAGGCCGCAGAGAAAUGGCUCUUCCAACUGUUUAACAAAAACACAGGUCUCUGCUAAGUCGAAAGACGAAGUAUAGGGGCUGACGCCUGCCCAGUGCUGGAAGGUUAAGGGGAGAGGUUAGGCGCAAGCCGAAGCUUUGAGCCGAAGCCCCAGUGAACGGCGGCCGUAACAAUAACGGUCCUAAGGUAGCGAAAUUCCUUGUCGGGUAAGAUCCGACCCGCACGAAUGGCGUAAUGAGAGGAGCACUGUCUCAACGAGGGACUCGGCGAACAUUGAAGGACGUGUGAAGAUACACGUGACCCGCAGCGGGACAAAAAGACCCCGUGAAGCUUUAUUACAACUUGCCAUUGAGUUAGGGCUAAACCUGUGUAGUAUGGGUGGGAGGCUUUGAAGCUGGGACGCCAGUCUCGGUGGAGCCACCGUUGAAAUACCACCCUGGUUUAUUCUUGGCUCUAACCUGUCGCCGUUAUCCGGCAUGGGAACAGUGGCUGGUGGGUAGUUUGACUGGGGCGGUCGCCUCCGAAAGCGUAACAGAGGCGCCCAAAGGUUCCCUCAGGCUGAAUGGAAACCAGCCGUUGAGUGUAAAGGCACAAGGGAGCUUGACUGCAAGACCAACAAGUCGCGCAGGGACGAAAGUCGGGCUUAGUGAUCCCACGGUUCAGAGUGGAAUGGCCGUGGCUUACCGGAUAAAAGCUACUCCGGGGAUAACAGGGUAGUCUGGUCCAAGAGUUCAUAUCGACGACCAGGUUCGCCACCUCGAUGUCGGCUCAUCACAUCCUGGGGCUGGAUAAGGUCCCAAGGGUUGGGCUGUUCGCCCAUUAAAGUGGUACGUGAGCUGGGUUCAGACCGUCGUGAGACAGGUCGGUCUCUAUCCGCUGUGGGCGUAAGGGAUUUGAGAGAAGCUGCCCCUAGUACGAGAGGACCGGGGUGGACGGACCUCUAGUGUGCCAGUUGUUCUGCCAAGAGCAUUGCUGGGUAGCUACGUCCGGCAGAGAUAACCGCUGAAAGCAUCUAAGUGGGAAACUCGUCUCAAGAUUAGAUCCCUCAUCCGUAUGGAGUAAGACCGCUAGAAGACUACUAGUUUGAUAGGCGGCAGGUGUAAGCGCAGUAAUGUGUUCAGCUUAGCCGUACUAAUGGUCGAGGGCUUACGUUU
rnacentral:rRNA from 1 species